CUGCAUGCCGUUCUUCCCUUCCCCUUUCACAACAGAAACGUGAAUCAGACCAGUAGAGAUUACUUUGUGAACUUGUGAGGGAGAGAUGAGACCUUGAGAGAGGAGUGGGCAGCUGCAUAGAGGAGAGGAAAAAGAGAGCUGGAAAACGUGAGAGGAAGAAGAAGGAGGAGAACCAGCAGCUGAAUAGUGUCAAACCUUCCUCAAACUUAGUUAAAUUCAGAAGGUGGUGCGGUCGGGAUUGGACCAUCAUCAAGACAGGAACGACCCACAGGUGGAGCAGGUAGGUGACUUGCACCUUUCUUUUUCAUACGUUGAAUCUUGGAAUAUUUUAACUUGAGUACUACCAUAUUGUUAGAACCGAUAUUAAAUUGUCGAACGCUUAAUUGUUGAUAAAAGAGUGAUUAGCUUCGGCUAAUGGCAUCCGAAUGGAUGGCCGGGACAAAAGACUGAUUAGCUUCGGCUAAUGGCAUCCAAACGGAUGGCCGGGACAAAGAAUGAUUAGCUUUGGCUAAUGGCGUCCGAAUGGAUGGCCGGGAUGAAGGACUGAUUAGCUUCGGCUAAUGACAUCCAAACGGAUGGCCGGGACAAAGAGUGAUUAGCUUCGGCUAAUGGCAUCUGAAUGGAUGGCCGGGACAAAGAAUGAUUAGCUUUGGCUAAUGGCGUCCGAAUGGAUGGCCGGGUUAAAAAGGGAUGAUUUCGCUGCCGAUUGUGGAUCGGCAGCGACGCAGUUCCGCUGCCGAUUCUGGAUCGGCAGCGACACAGUAUUCGCUGCCGAUUCUGGAUCGGCCGCGACCCAGUUUCGCUGCCGAUUCCUUGAUCGGCAGCGAUGUAGUUUCGGCUGCCGAUUUUAGGAUUGGCAGCGACGCAGCUAUCGCUAUGCUAUCGCUAUGGAAUCCGGGACAAAUAAACGACUAGUUUUGGCGAAUGGCAUUUGAAAACUUGUGUAUCUAUAUGUACUACUAAUUGUUACAUCAAAUACAUGAAGAAAUUAUAAAUGUUAAUGCUUAUUUAAUUGCUAGGCCGUUAGUUACCAUUAUUAUUAUUAUUAAGUAUUUGUUUUCUCUUAAAUGUUUUGUACUGCUGCAGGGACGUCACACCAACGAGAUGUCU
rnacentral:lncRNA from 1 species